CUACUUGCAUACAUACUCUAGUCCUGAGGACAAUAAGGAAAAAAGGAGGAAAGUGAGUUGGAGUUUGUCAGUUUACAUCCAGAGAGGCCCCAGAUACCAAAGGGGAAAGUCAAGCUGCCUAGUUUUCAACUGUUACAUAAAGCAGGCAACUUGUCUAGCAAAACAAGGAAAAAGAGAUAAAUAUUCCUUCUUGUGAAGACUGGAAACAAAAACUGAGCCUAAAAAAAUGCCUAUUAAAUAAAUCGCUCAUGAUAGCUCUUAGAUGGCCCAGGAAUGGAGGUAUUUUAUCAUGUCAUCAGAUCUAAUAAACAGAAAAUGUAAUUGAGUUACUCAGUGGGCAGUUUGACUUGAUUUUUCAUUUAUCUUUGAUGCAUAUAAUUCCAUCUGAUAUUAACAGCAGAGAAGGUUGGUCUGUGGCAGUGCAAUAGAUGAUCUCAUAGUGUGUAUUUUCGCCCACGGUGUAAUGAAAGUAGCAAGUCAUGAUACAUGAGCAAGAACAAAGGAUGAGGCUUUCACUUGGAACUUUUUGCAGCAUUACUGACAUCAUUAGGCUUCUGCUCUGUAGAAAUCAGUUGGCAUUUCUUCAGUUAAAUGCUGGUUCGAGCUCAAACUACCCUGAAGAUCUAGGCACUCUGCAGGGGUUCAUUUACACAUGGGUAAAAGGACUGAAAUCUGCAAUUUUCCCUCCAAAUCCAAGCCCCCAUGAAGACAUCCUUUCAGUUUUACCAUCAUUAAGCAGCCUUUGCCAUCAGAACUUCUCAAGAAAUACAUAUAAAUUGCAUGAAUGCACGGAUUACAUGUUUUCACAGGUGUGUGAGCUACAUCAGCUAACAGUUACCUUGCUUUCACAAGCACAGGCAUCACAGUCCACACAAUACCUUGCACAGUUCCACUCAAUUCCUCUUCCAGAAGACUUUGGACUAAUGUAUGUCUGUCAACUUUUAAUUGUUUACUAAUCAGUCUUUUUAUUGUGGGUUCUGUUUUGUGCUGUUUUUUUCCAAUUGUUUCACUAUACUUUUUCCAGGCUCAGUUGAAAAGUUUGCAGCUGAAACAUUCUAAAAGCUAAAUACUCUUCUACGACAGCAGACAGCCCAAGGCACAGUAUAAAUGUAGCAGUAUUUACCUGUUUGGGAACACAGAAGUAAGAUAAUACUUUGAACUUGAUAAAUAAAUGAAGCUAUGCCUAUUUUCCCUCUACUGUUUCAAUUCCAUGUGUGUUCUUUGAAUUGUGGUACAAAAGGAUAUUAAACUGCUGUAAUGCUGAAGUACAUUGCCUACCCAAUGCUCUGAAGCACAGGAACAGAAUACCUGCAGCAGUUAUGGAAACAUCUAGCAAUGAAAGUUUUUAAGAAUAUGUUGGAGAAACUGCUGCUGAGAGUUGCUUAAGUAUAGCUACC
ensembl:lncRNA